rnacentral:rRNA from 1 species
UACAGAGGGGGCAAGCGUUAUUCGGAAUUAUUGGGCGUAAAGGGCGCGUAGGCGGCUUGGCAAGUGGAUGGUGAAAUCCCUCGGCUUAACCGAGGAACUGCCGUCCAAACUGCUUCGCUUGAGACCGGGAGAGGUGAGUGGAAUUCCCAGUGUAGCGGUGAAAUGCGUAGAUAUUGGGAGGAACACCAGUGGCGAAGGCGGCUCACUGGACCGGUACUGACGCUGAUGCGCGAAAGCGUGGGGAGCAAACGGGGAU